UGUCGCCGUGGGGACAUUGUGAUGCCGCCGGUGAGGUCGGCCCCGUUGGUGUGGGACAUUUUGCGCACGUCGGGCGUCGCCGUGGGGACAUUGUGAUGCCGCCGGUGAGGUCGGCCCCGUG